rnacentral:lncRNA from 10 species
UCUUGGAACACUGUAGUGAAUGAAAAUGAUUUGUUUUAACAUACAAAUUCUGUAUUAUUAAAAUUUUCAGUGAGAAAGAAUUAUUAAGCAGUAGAUCUGCCAUAGAUUUAGUCAGAGGAGGAACUCAUCACUAUCAUUAUCAUCACUACUGCUUUUUAUAAAGAUUUCCUAUGUCACAUACUUAUUAGGAAGCUAUUUGCUUUGGGGUAUGAUAAGACAGGUAGGUAACCAGUUGUUGCACUUUUUGUUAUUAAAGAAUUGUAAACUAUACAUACUUAAAAAAUAAAAGGUUAAAUAGAUAAUUUAUGGAGGGUAAAAUUGAUGUGGCCUGAAAUCUAAUUGACAGGUUGAACUGAUCAACAUUUUGAAAAUGUGAGAAACUUAUAAGAAAAUUAUUAUCUGGAGCUUUCACAAAAAACAGAUAAUGAACCAUUUGGAAUUUCAAAUGUUUUUAUUUGUAUUGCCAUAUAUAGACAUACACAUAACAUAUAAAUGGUAUACAAUGUAGAUGCUAUAUAUGUUUUGACAUUUAUAAUAUAUAGGUUGUACAACAUGUGUGUGAUGUGUGUGCAUAUGUUGUACUAUAUAUGAAUAAAACAUAAAUGUAGGCAUACUCUAAGAAUCUGAAUAUAGGAAGUAUUGCAUCUCUGGAGUUUACAACUGAUAGUUUGGGGCUUACUCUAAUUCUAGACAUGACUGGUCUUAGCAAGGAAGGUGAAGCUAUUCCUCUCUGAAAGGAAAAUUCCUGACAUUCCUUGACCAUCACAGAACCUAAGUAAAUGGAUAGAAUUCGGGAUUUUAAAAAGAAUAAUAAUGCAGUAACUAAGUAUGGCCAAUGGAAAGUAAUAUGCGUAUAGUACCUGUAAGGAUCUUAUUUUCCUUUUGUAAUUCAAGUCCUUUACCAAUUGUGUGGUUUUGUGGUUUAAAACAUGGCUUACCCUUAUCUAUCACAACAAUUUUCUAAUUUCUGAAAAGUCCCUCCUUCUCUGUCCCAAUUCCAUACUUUUCUGUUCCACAUGAAGUUGAGAUACCCAAACUUGUUUAAAAUAAAUUUAAAGUAUCUGGAAAAUUAAUUUAACAAUCCUUUCAGUAAUUUAUUCUGUACAUUCACAACCAAGUACUUUUCAGAAUGGUUAUAAAACCUCAGGAAUAUAUGAAAUUUAUGAAAUAAAAAAAGAAAACUUCAAGUAUUACAGUUCUUUUAGAAUUUGUCUAGCAGGUUCUCUGUUUUUCCAGAAAACCACCCAGGAAGAAACAAGACUUAAAGAAAAAUGUGGCCAGGCGUGGUGGCUCACAUCUGUAAUCCCAGCACUUUGGGGGGCCAAGGCAGACGGAUCACUUGAGGUCAGGAGCUCGAGACCAGCCUGGCCAACAUGGUGAAACCUCGUCUCCACUAAAAACACAAAAAUUAUCCAGGCAUGGUGGCAUGCUCCUGUAAUGCCAGCUACUUGGGUAGCUGAGGGAGGAGAAUCACUUGAACCUGGAAGGUGGAGGUUGCACUGAGCCAAGAUCCCACCUGCAUUCCAGCCUGGGUGACAGAGUGAAACUCUUGUCUUAAAAAAAAUGCAUAAAUAAAUAAAGAAAAGAAAAAUGUAAACAAAGAACUGAAUGCUGCUGAAUAACAAAAGAGUCACUUACUUAAAAAAAUAAUAAUUUCAGCUCAUCUAAGAAAUAGAUAGCAAGCAACAGUGGGCAAUAUCAAGAUCCGAAACAGGAUAUUAAAAGGUAAGAUAUACAGAGCUAUCAAUUAUUUCCAAAAGACAUUACAUUUUAUAUGAAACUCACAGUAUUAAAAAGUUGACAGUAUGCCCUUUUCUUUUAAUCAUUAAAUUAUCUUAGUACCUUUUACCUAAUUCCCAAUUAUCAUCCACACCAUUCCCUGCUCUUGACUUACAUACAAAACUUUAGUCUCUUUGUUAAAUAAUCGUUAUGACUUACAGACUAAUUUUGGCAUUUUUCUAUUACACCUGCCCCUAUCGUAUUACAUUAAGUACUAUCCUAGGCCAAGUUAUCAUCACUUUAUAUUUGGAAAACUCUAUCGGCCUCUUAGAUGGUGUCUCUGAGGUCUCUAUAUAUAACACAACAGUAGAUUAACUUUUCUUAAACUAUACUUUCAUCAUGUCGUUCCCAUACAAGCAUCCAGUUAUUUCUUCGUUCUAUAAUAAUAUUAAUACUAGUAUUUAUUAAUGUCCUUUGUAUAUAAUAAAUAGUAUUAACAUUAUUAACACUAUUCUUUAUUAAUGUCCUUGGCAUUGUGCUAAAUGCUUUACAUAUGUUUACAUACGAUUUAAAUCUUUCCAAAGCACACUAAAUAUAAUUACUCCCUAUUUAUAGGUAAGAAAACUGAAACUCUGAAGGGCUGCUGACAAAUUCACCCAAGAUCACACAGUUAUUAAGUGAUAAAGCUAAGAUUCAAGCCCAGGUAGAUCUCUACCCAAAACUCUAGAUCACUAAUCUAAUCAACAUCUAGAACACUGGCACACAGUAGUCAUUCAAUAAAUAUUUGUUGAAUAAAUGAAUGAAUAAAUACUAUGCUAUAGUGUAGCAUAUACCAAGGUAGUCCUUGGUAUACUGUUAAUAGUCAAAUGAAAAUUUAUAUUUUUAAAUUCAAGCUCAUAUUUUACACUAAGCAAAAUAACUGGCACACAUUACAUGCUUAGUGAAUAUUUGUUGAAUUGAACUAAAUUUUAAAAAUUAUAUUGGUAUGAGCCCAACUAAUGACACAGAGACAAAGUCUUACUAUAACUUAACAUAAUCCACAUUAAUAUUUAUUUAUAUCUCUCUUUACAGUGGCUAAAAUUACAUUUAUUUGUGCUUUUGAAUCAGGUAAACCAUAAUUAUUUAACUAAGUUAAUUUUAUUAAUAAUUAAUUUAGUUGCAAAAUACAAAAAGGUUCCAUUGGUGGAAAGUAAUAUUGUUGGAACACUAAAUAUUGUGUAUGAACAUGUUGGACAUGCACACCAAAUUGCUUAGGGUGUAUAGAUUCCUAAACAGUCUGAACAAAAUUCCUUGGAGAUAAUGUUUUAAAAUUUUAAUAUAGAACAAAUGUCACUCUCUAGCAAUUUAAAGAUAUAAGGGACUUCAGAGUUCAAUAACAAAUACAGAGUUGUUAUUUGAAACAAAAAUGUGGCUCUUGAGAGCAAUCAGUUCAGUUUUCUAACAGCAGUUAUAGUAUGUGGUCAUAACCAUUUUUUCCCCUUUUACAGAGGUCUCUAGGUGCACAUUUUUAAUGUAUCCUAGCAGUUUCCAGUUAAUGUUUUAUAUUUCUGUAACUAUUAUUUUCUGUUGAAAGAAAACUAGUAAAGGUUGAGUCUAGAAAGGGAAAACAAAGAAAGAAGAUCAAUAUUAACACUCUACAAAUAUUGACUUAGCAAAGUGACUUUGUUGUCAUUCUCUCACAGGAAUUGAAAUUGAAUGAAUGAUUUAUUUAUAUGAAACACCUAUGGUGAAUAUUUGUUAAACAAAACAAAAAAUUUGCUUCCCAAAGUAUAUAACUUGAUAAUCUACUCAUCAGGUUAUAAAACUUGAGUGUUACCAUUUUCAAACUGAAGACCUUAUAAUAAUAUUCAUCAUUUUUAAUUUAAAAGUAUUACACUAGCUUACAGGUAGAAAUUACACAGAAAAACCUCAAAUUACUUCAUAAACUU